rnacentral:rRNA from 1 species
GACGAACGCUGGCGGCGUGCUUAACACAUGCAAGUCGAACGGAAAGGCCCUGCUUUUGUGGGGUGCUCGAGUGGCGAACGGGUGAGUAACACGUGAGUAACCUGCCCUUGACUUUGGGAUAACUUCAGGAAACUGGGGCUAAUACCGGAUAGGAGCUCCUGCUGCAUGGUGGGGGUUGGAAAGUUUCGGCGGUUGGGGAUGGACUCGGGGCUUAUCAGCUUGUUGGUGGGGUAGUGGCUUACCAAGGCUUUGACGGGUAGCCGGCCUGAGAGGGUGACCGGCCACAGUGGGACUGAGAUACGGCCCAGACUCCUACGGGAGGCAGCAGUGGGGAAUAUUGCACAAUGGGCGGAAGCCUGAUGCAGCAACGCCGCGUGCGGGAUGACGGCCUUCGGGUUGUAACCCGCUUUCGCCUGUGACGAAGCGUGAGUGACGGUAAUGGGUAAAGAAGCACCGGCUAACUACGUG